GAUGAACGCUAGCUACAGGCUUAACACAUGCAAGUCGAGGGACCGGCGCACGGGUGAGUAACACGUAUCCAACCUGCCCUUUACUCGGGGAUAGCCUUUCGAAAGAAAGAUUAAUACCCGAUAUAAAGGAUGGGGAUGCUUUCCAUUAGGUUGUUGGUGAGGUAACGGCUCACCAAGCCUUCGAUGGAUAGGGGUUCUGAGAGGAAGGCACCCCACAUGGGAGAUGAGGCACGGUCCAAGCUCCUACGGGAGGCAGCAGUGAGGAAUAUUGGUUAAUGGGCGCUAGCCUUAACCAGCCAAGUAGCGUGAAGGAGGAAGGGUUAGUGGUCGUAAACUUCUUUGAUAUAAGAAUAUUUAUUAUAUGAAUAAGGAUCGGCUAACUCCGUGCCAGCAGCCGCGGUAAUUC
rnacentral:rRNA from 1 species